GCAGAAAUGAAGAGCAAUUUUGUGGUUGAAAAUGAAAAUGUCUUUUCCCAACUGUGAUCAGCUCUUCUGACCUGGCAGAUAUGAUUUCAAGCCUGUGUCUUUCAGGCCUUGAAAUCUGCUUCAAAACAAUUUCUGCUCAAGAGGACAUUCUCGGGAAGUUUUAAUGCAUCUCAAGUCCUGGCCUACAUUUUCUGCUUGAUUUUACCUUGCUUUCUUGCAUAUGCAACUUCUUAUUAGAGUAUCAUAAGUUCUCUUUUAUCCCAAGGCUUCCCAAGAAGAAACAUACUAUCCAAGGAUGUGACUUUGGGCCAUUUCAGGAUGCACAGGAGAGUGGUUCAAACCCACGUGUACCGAGGACAGUGAUAGAAACCAGGCAACCCCUAUGAAGAAGGAUUAUGGAAUUCAUUCUGGGAAGACUCAGAAGAAACACAUGAAGAAAGCAAGGCAGAGAGACCACUGGAAAAAGAGAGAUCGAUGAGAGCUGUCAGAAAUGAAGGCUUAGUAGAACAGCAUCUGGAAGCCAAGGACAUUUGCCAAGAGAAAAGAUCCCAAGAAAACACACAGCCCGGGUUGCCCAGAGGAAGAGCUAAGUCUACAGGUUCCAAACUGGAUAGGGAAUCAAAAAUCCUGGGAAGUAUCAUGAGGCUGAGGAAAAGGUCCUGCGUGCUCCAGAGUUCGGGGGCCCCCUGAUCCCGCCCAGCCCCCUCCAGGAGCGGAAGGGUUAAGCAUGAUGCCGAUUCAGGAUCUUGCUAACAGUCCGAAUUUGCCCUGUGAGUGUGUCGAGUGACCUGAAGUCUUGAAAACAGGAACCACCUUGCGGUUUAAUUGUGAAAAUUAACAUUUUUACUCUAGCCGGCCGAACACUUAUGUGGUAAUAAAAAAUGAAUUGUUAGGCUUAUAAAUCUUGAGCUUGUCAAAUUUUACAACAGAUGAGCAAUAAAGCACCUUCGGGGGAAAAAAAUUGAAGUUUUCCCUCUAAAGAAUAGUACCCUGUCGAUACCAGAAUCUGCAGUGACUCGAGGACGCCCUCUAUUGAUAAGAUAAUUUAGAGCACCGUGUAUUUUAAGGAACAGGAUAGGAGGUGGGGGAGAAGUAGCAGGGGGAGAAAUGAUGGAAAGUAAUGACAGCGAAAAGAGCCCAACUAAAGUGAAUUUGAUCCUUAACUUUCGGUGAUGUGUUUUGAAGUAUGGUCGUGGUGGCAUGCUUCUUUUAUAGGUGUCGAAUUAAAUCUAGGGUUAGGGAAAAGGAAACACCUUACUCUUUGUUAGAAAAAGAGCCGGAAGAACGGUUUAGAUUUGGUGAUUUUUGAAAAGAUGUCUACCAGGAUUUCACUGACUUUAGUUCAUCGAUUCAUGUAGUCGUUGCAAGAGAGUCGGUGUUGGGUGUCGCGCUAUUCACUCCCCAGUACUACCUAAAAGUCGUAUCAGAUAACUCGGCCGGCAAAAAGUCAUUUCUCCAGGCAACUCUGAAGCUAUUAUUAAGCAUAUUUAUGGAUAUACCCAGGGCCUGGAUUGUAUCUUGGGCAGUGAAAGGUGUGUUUACCACUUGAGUCAUCAUAGUAUGUAAUAGGUAAGUAAAGAAAAGUUACAGUAAAAAUAGAUAGGCAUCCUUCAUUAGGGACCUAGUGGUUUGCACAGUUCAUAAUGUGUCUAAUGAGUGAGGCCGAGUGAUCGAAGGUUUGCCCUCAAUUAUCCUCGUCCAUUGAUUAGCACAUUGUAACAUGUGGACUAUCAAUGUGUCCGUGGCUGAUACGAAAUUACAAAGCAGGGAUUAUGAGCAGUGAAGGGGUGCAGUUGCGAGCUGCAGUUUGGCUGUAAGUGAAUUAAAAACUGCAGCCCUGAGCCCCUUGGAGGAAUGGCCAGGGCAGGCGAAGCCGCUCCCGGGCCUCUGAAGCCAUUCCUGAGAUUAGAUACCACUUCACACCUACUGAUAACAAAUUGGAACCUAUCAUCGACCUCGCAACGGGCUUUCCUGUGACUGCACUCGGCAGCCUCCUUGCUGGCACACAAUUGGGUUCCCCCCCCCCCUUAGUUCUGGAUCCGACCAAGGGGCAAAAGUAGAAAGUGACCUGCUAAGAGAACUCGGAAGAUUUGUGGGAAAGCCACCGAGCAACCAGAAGUGAUGGCCUGAUUACUCCACACUGCAUUAAAAACUCACCAUCCUCAUUAAUCUAAUUACACUGUAACCGAACACGUUGAAGUUCGCCCCCUCUCAGACUCCUCCCCGCCGCUUUCAGGAAGGGAAAUGUCAGAGGAACAAUAACGCCGGGGCCUCGCACAGCUGCCAGCGGAUUCCGCCGGGAGCUGGGGGGCGGGGGGGGGGUUCCCGGCCCCUCCGGCCUGCGCGGGACCGCGGGUCACGUUGGGGUCUCCAGCGCGGCGGGCUGCCAGCCCUACCGAGCGUCCGGGGAAGGCUCGGGACGCGGUUCCGCAGGUGGGAUUGGCUGCGGAGGGACCUGCGGCUCGGAGCCGGAGCCGGAGCCGGAGCCGGGGCGGGGGGAACCUAAGGCACCCACACACCUUAGGGGGCGGUGGAACCCAAUCACAUUAAUUGGAAGAGAGGUCCAAGACCGGUUCCCUCGUGACGCCGAGACAGAGUGGCCGUCGCCGGUUUCUGCAGCGCACGGGGAACCGGGAGCUCGCGGCGGCGACGAGGAGGAGGCUGGGCCCGGGCGCCGCGGACCGCACUCCGCCUGCGGACGCGGAACUCGCAGUACAAUGAGCCAGCGGAGGGCGGGAGGAGGUGCGGGGGGCGGGC